UUCAUUCCCACACAACACAGACUCUCCUGUCAGGCCUAUUUGAUUCCAGAACGUGUAACUCCACUGGCUGUGUCUGGGUGCCUGCUCCUUAGAAGAAGCAUUUUUACUGCAAGGUCCAGUCUUGCUGGGAGGAUCACAGACUUCAUUCCACGUUGCAAGUUCCAGAUUAACAGCACUUUCACUGAAGAUGCCACUCACCACAAACUUUGCCCCAUUCU